rnacentral:rRNA from 1 species
GGGUAAUGGCCCACCAAGCCGAUGAUCGGUACGGGUUGUGAGAGCAAGGGCCCGGAGAUGGAACCUGAGACAAGGUUCCAGACCCUACGGGGUGCAGCAGGCGCGAAACCUCCGCAAUGUACGAAAGUGCGACGGGGGGAUCCCAAGUGUUAUGCUUUUUUGUAUGACUUUUCAUUAGUGUAAAAAGCUUUUAGAAUAAGAGCUGGGCAAGACCGGUGCCAGCCGCCGCGGUAACACCGGCAGCUCGAGUGGUAGCUGUUUUUAUUGGGCCUAAAGCGUUCGUAGCCGGUUUGAUAAGUCUUUGGUGAAAGCUUGUAGCUUAACUAUAAGAAUUGCUGGAGAUACUAUUAGACUUGAAGUCGGGAGAGGUUAGAGGUACUACCGGGGUAGGGGUGAAAUCCUAUAAUCCUGGGAGGACCACCUGUGGCGAAGGCGUCUAACUGGAACGAUCUUGACGGUGAGUAACGAAAGCCAGGGGCGCGAACCGGAUUAGAUACCCGGGUAGUCCUGGCCGUAAACGAUGUGGACUUGGUGUUGGAAUGGCUUUGAGUUGUUCCGGUGCCGAAGGGAAGCUGUUAAGUCCACCGCCUGGGAAG